GACGAACGCUGGCGGCAUGCCUAAUACAUGCAAGUCGAGCGAACAGAUGAAGUGCUUGCACUUCUGACGUUAGCGGCGAACGGGUGAGUAACACGUAAGGAAUCUACCUAUAAGCGGGGGAUAACAUUCGGAAACGGGUGCUAAUACCGCAUAAUAUUUUCUUCCGCAUGGAAGAAAAUUGAAAGACGGCUCUGCUGUCACUUAUAGAUGACCUUGCGGUGCAUUAGUUAGUUGGUGGGGUAACGGCCUACCAAGACGAUGAUGCAUAGCCGACCUUGGAGGGUGAUAGGCCACAUUGGGACAGAGACACGGCCCAAACUCCUACGGGAGGCAGCAGUAGGGAAUCGUCCGCAAUGGGCGAAAGCCUGACGGAGCAAUGCCGCGUGAGUGAAGAAGGCCUUCGGGUCGUAAAACUCUGUUAUAAGAGAAGAACAAAUUGUAGAGUAACUGCUACAGUCUUGACGGUAUCUUAUCAGAAAGCCACAGCUAACUACGUGCCAGCCGCCGCGGUAA
rnacentral:rRNA from 1 species